GGCCCCGNANACAUGCAAGCCGAGCGGUAGAGAUUCUUCGGAAUCUUGAGAGCGGCGUACGGGUGCGGAACACGUGUGCAACCUACCUUUAUCAGGGGGAUAGCCUUUCGAAAGGAAGAUUAAUACCCCAUAAUAUAUUUGAUGGCAUCAUUAGAUAUUGAAAACUCCGGUGGAUAGAGAUGGGCACGCGCAAGAUUAGAUAGUUGGUGAGGUAACGGCUCACCAAGUCAAUGAUCUUUAGGGGGCCUGAGAGGGUGAUCCCCCACACUGGUACUGAGACACGGACCAGACUCCUACGGGAGGCAGCAGUGAGGAAUAUUGGACAAUGGGUGAGAGCCUGAUCCAGCCAUCCCGCGUGAAGGACGACGGCCCUAUGGGUUGUAAACUUCUUUUGUAUAGGGAUAAACCUUUCCACGUGUGGAAAGCUGAAGGUACUAUACGAAUAAGCACCGGCUAACUCCGUGCCAGCAGCCGCGGUAAUACGGAGGGUGCAAGCGUUAUCCGGAUUUAUUGGGUUUAAAGGGUCCGUAGGCGGACUCGUAAGUCAGUGGUGAAAUCUCAUAGCUUAACUAUGAAACUGCCAUUGAUACUGCGGGUCUUGAGUAAGGUAGAGGUAGCUGGAAUAAGUAGUGUAGCGGUGAAAUGCAUAGAUAUUACUUANAACACCAAUUGCCNAAGGCAGGU
rnacentral:rRNA from 1 species